rnacentral:rRNA from 1 species
GACGAACGCUGGCGGCGUGCUUAACACAUGCAAGUCGAGCGGAAAGGCCCUUCGGGGUACUCGAGCGGCGAACGGGUGAGUAACACGUGAGUAACCUGCCCCAGACUUUGGGAUAACCCUCGGAAACGGGGGCUAAUACCGGAUACGACACAGCUUCGCAUGGGGUCUGUGUGGAAAGUUUUUCGGUUUGGGAUGGGCUCGCGGCCUAUCAGCUUGUUGGUGGGGUGAUGGCCUACCAAGGCGACGACGGGUAGCCGGCCUGAGAGGGCGACCGGCCACACUGGGACUGAGACACGGCCCAGACUCCUACGGGAGGCAGCAGUGGGGAAUAUUGCGCAAUGGGCGGAAGCCUGAUGCAGCGACGCCGCGUGAGGGAUGACGGCCUUCGGGUUGUAAACCUCUUUCAGCAGGGACGAAGCGUAAGUGACGGUACCUGCAGAAGAAGCGCCGGCCAACUACGUG